rnacentral:rRNA from 1 species
CCUACGGGAGGCAGCAGUGAGGAAUAUUGGUCAAUGGGCGCGAGCCUGAACCAGCCAAGUCGCGUGAGGGAAGACGGUCCUAUGGAUUGUAAACCUCUUUUGUCGGGGAGCAAAAGACGCCACGCGUGGCGUUCCGAGAGUACCCGAAGAAAAAGCAUAGGCUAACCCCGUGCCAGCAGCCGCGGUAAUACGGAGGAUGCGAGCGUUAUCCGGAUUUAUUGGGUUUAAAGGGUGCGCAGGCGGAAGAUCAAGUCAGCGGUAAAAUUGAGAGGCUCAACCUCUUCGAGCCGUUGAAACUGGUGUUCUUGAGUGAGUGAGAAGUAUGCGGAAUGCGUGGUGUAGCGGUGAAAUGCAUAGAUAUCACGCAGAACUCCGAUUGCGAAGGCAGCAUACCGGCGCUCAACUGACGCUCAUGCACGAAAGUGUGGGUAUCGAACAGGAUUAGAUACCCCUGUAGUC